CUGUAAAUCCUGCUCGGUUCUGUGGACGGGUGUGGAGGAGAAGACAGGAGCCACUAGACCCACUGGCAAGGUUCUCAUACUACGAAAUCUCCCGGUGAAAAAAGUUGCUCCAAAAGUAACGGAAUCAACGCGAUACACUUAAAUAUGGGCGUGGAAUCCAUUCUCUUUACUCAUCCCCAGUUUUGAAUUACGCAACCUAACCUGACGUCUAACUCCUUUCAUCUGGCUGGACGAAGACACUGAGGCGGAAGCUUAUCAAGGUUAUCUGCUUUGGCGAAAUAGUGAGUCAAGCUGCAAGAAACAACCCACUGAACUUGGACUGCACUCCUCGAUGUACAGAAGGACACGCAUGGACAGGAGUUCAUUGCCCGAGAAACGAUGGUCG